UUUGGUUUAAGAUUUAGGAUUUGAUUAGAAUUUAGAUAGGAUUUAAUUUAGGAUUUGGUUAAGAUUUAAUUUAGGAUUUAGGAUUUGUCUAGGAUUUGGUUUAGGAUUUAAGUUUUUUCUAGGAUUUGGUUUAGGAUUUAAGAUUUGAUUAGAAUUUAGUUUAGGAUUUAGGAUUUGGUUAGAAUUUGAUUAGAGUUUGAGUAGGAUUUGAUUUAGGAUUUAGG
rnacentral:lncRNA from 1 species